UACGUAGGUGGCAAGCGUUGCCCGGAAUUAUUGGGCGUAAAGCGCGCGCAGGCGGUCCUUUAAGUCUGAUGUGAAAGCCCACGGCUCAACCGUGGAGGGUCAUUGGAAACUGGGGGACUUGAGUACAGAAGAGAAGAGUGGAAUUCCACGUGUAAGCGGUGAAAUGCGUAGAGAUGUGGAGGAACACCAGUGGCGAAGGCGAC
rnacentral:rRNA from 1 species